AUUUGACGUUUGUGCAAAGUCUGUCGCGCUUUUUUUUUUUCGGACAAAUUUAACUCCGCUCGAACUCGGUAACGAUCCAAGAAGAAAGAACAAUUAACGAUAGAUUGAUGUUUCAAUCCUCCCAAACUUUAUUCCAAAUCUCGUUUUGAUAUGUCGUUUAAAAGAGAGAAAGAGAGAGAAAAGGAAAGUGUACGAAGUAAAAAAAAAAAAAAUUAAAUUCGACAACAAGAAAUUUCGAUCGAUCAUUUUAACCUCGGGUAACGAGCGAUCAUAACGAUUGCAUUGGCAAGAGAGAUAAUCCACGAGAAAAUUGUAGCAUCGAUUUUCUCA